UACAGAGGGUGCUAGCGUUGUUCGGAAUUAUUGGGCGUAAAGCGCUUGUAGGCGGCUUGUUAAGUUCCGUGUGAAAUCCCCAGGCUUAACCUGGGAAGUGCGCGGAAAACUGGCGAGCUUGAAUGCCGGAGAGGGUCGCGGAAUUCCCGGUGUAGGGGUGAAAUUCGUAGAUAUCGGGAGGGAACACCAGUGGCGAAGGCGGCGACCUGGA
rnacentral:rRNA from 1 species